ACCCCGCCGGGAGGGCGGCUCCAGUUCUUAACUUGGCUUCCCAGAGGAAAUUCCCAGCUGGUGCAGCCCGGCUCUCAAAGCCCGGGGCUGGGGCGACGUGCCUGGUGCAAGGAGCCCACAAUUAGGCCGCGACCGGGAUUGAUUUAUUGCUCUGGGAUUAGAUCCUCCGUUAGAUGUUCAGCAGAGAGCUGAGGUCUGGCCAAGUCUCAGGCUAAUUUCCCUCGGCACACUCCUGACCACACUCAGAUAGCAAAGCUGCUGGACACUGGCUCUCAAGGAACGUUUCUUCAAGGACAUCCAGCUCCCCCAAGGGCACUCGGAGGAGGGAGCUCACGUGGCAGAUGAGGACGCGGGCCCGUGCAUCAUAGUGUCCUGGGGAGAGAAACCGCGUGGGGGUCAGCUCAGCGUUAAGCACAGACGUGGUUUUUGGUUGUAGUUUGAAAAUGGUUCCAUAUACUUAAGUGCUUCACCCCUAAGCAAAAAUGCAGGCUAUUUGCUUUCAGCCAUGCCAGGAUUCUUCCUACACCGUCCUAUACCUCGGAAGCUCAGCCUGGGAUGGCAGUUCCCACAGCCAGGCCUUUUUACAGAACUUACGCACAAGUUCUGUGAACAUGAGCUUCUUCACUCUAAGCAGAAGAAACAGCAUUGCAAGCACUGUGGACAGAGGUGUUAACACCGGUGUAAUUCUUAAAAUCCAAACCCUGGCAUCCAAAGUGCACAGGCCCUCGGGAACCAGUCACCCCAACAACAGCACAGCUGCCUGGAAGGAAUGCUGGACAGUCGUCUGGAGCAAGGUGACACUUCUCACCAAAUGAGUUCCUCUACCUGGACCCAGAAGAGCCCCGCCUCUAAGGGUGAGAACACAGUGAGAAUAAGGUGGCAGCUGAAGGCUACUGCAAAGUCCAGGCCCAGGAUGGAUGGGGGUUAUCCUGGAGUGGAGCCUGACUGCAAGGCUCAGCGAUGGAUCCUGUCUAGCUGUUAUGUGUCACCAAAAAAAUGUUAUUUUUGUCUGUCAUGGGAGUAGAGAGUCAUUUCACAAACAUGUCCUGAGCUCUGCAAGCACCCACAGUAGGUGUUUAACCAAUGUUGA